GAGAUGAUAGAAAAAUGUCCUCUCUCACUGCAGAAAAGCACUCUCAAAUUUCCCUGCUACUACCUGAAACAUGGUGAUGCUUUUAAAGCAGACAUUUUCCAUGGCCUUAGCUGUCUACAGGUCUGUCCUAAAACCGAAGUAGCCACUGUGCAUACCUAUCUUUGGAUGAGAUCUGAAAAGAAGCUUGAAAAUUUUAUGUGGCAAUCUACAUAUGGCAGACUGUAGGUUUUGAUCAGCAACUUCUUUACCGUUAGAAUUAUGUACACUCUCUCAGAUGCAGUGAACAUACAUUGCAACAACAGAUUCUACUUCGGGGAGUAUACGCAGCUUGAAUCCCUGACUUACUGCUUGAUGGCCUCACUUGGUUGGUACAGUAUGACAACAGGUAAUAGAUACAAUAACAGUAAAACAGUCAUCAUCACUGCUGGGACUGGAAACCCCCACCACUGCUUUUUUAGCUUUCCUCAGCUGGAAAGUUUUGACAUCUGCUGGUUUGGGACAUAGCUGAACAGCUG
rnacentral:lncRNA from 1 species